AUUGAACGCUGGCGGCAGGCUUAACACAUGCAAGUCGAGCGGGGGAAGGUAGCUUGCUACCGGACCUAGCGGCGGACGGGUGAGUAAUGCUUAGGAAUCUGCCUAUUAGUGGGGGACAGCAUCUCGAAAGGGAUGCUAAUACCGCAUACGUCCUACGGGAGAAAGCAGGGGAUCUCCGGACCUUGCGCUAAUAGAUGAGCCUAAGUGGGAUUAGCGAGUUGGUGGGGUAAAGGCCUACCAAGGCGACGAUCUGUAGCGGGUCUGAGAGGGUGAUCCGCGACACUGGGACUGGUGCACGGCCCAGACUCCUACGGGAGGCAGCAGUGGGGAAUAGUGGACAAUGUGGGGAACCCUGAUCCAGCCAUGCCGCGUGUGUGAAGAAGGCCUUAUGGUUGUAAAGCACUUUAAGCGAGUAGGAGGCUACUUUAGUUAAUACCUAGAGAUAGUGGACGUUACUCGCAGAAUAAGCACCGGCUAACUCUGUGCCAGCCGCCGCCGUAA
rnacentral:rRNA from 1 species